rnacentral:rRNA from 1 species
GAUGAACGCUGGCGGCGUGCCUAAUACAUGCAAGUCGAGCGAACAGAUGAGGAGCUUGCUCCUCUGACGUUAGCGGCGGACGGGUGAGUAACACGUGGAUAACCUACCUAUAAGACUGGGAUAACUUCGGGAAACCGGAGCUAAUACCGGAUAAUAUAUUGAACCGCAUGGUUCAAUAGUGAAAGACGGUUUUGCUGUCACUUAUAGAUGGAUCCGCGCCGCAUUAGCUAGUUGGUAAGGUAACGGCUUACCAAGGCAACGAUGCGUAGCCGACCUGAGAGGGUGAUCGGCCACACUGGAACUGAGACACGGUCCAGACUCCUACGGGAGGCAGCAGUAGGGAAUCUUCCGCAAUGGGCGAAAGCCUGACGGAGCAACGCCGCGUGAGUGAUGAAGGUCUUCGGAUCGUAAAACUCUGUUAUUAGGGAAGAACAAAUGUGUAAGUAACUAUCCACGUCUUGACGGUACCUAAUCAGAAAGCCACGGCUAACUACGUG